GUGUCAGCAGCCGCGGUAAUACGGAGGGUGCAAGCGUUAUCCGGAUUCACUGGGUUUAAAGGGUGCGUAGGCGGGCUUGUAAGUCAGUGGUGAAAGCCCGGAGCUCAACUCCGGAACUGCCAUUGAUACUGCAAGUCUUGAGUACACUUGAGGUGGGCGGAAUACAUCAUGUAGUGGUGAAAUACUUAGAUAUGAUGUAGAACACCGAUUGCGAAGGCAGCUCACUAAAUUGUAACUGACGCUGAGGCACGAAAGCGUGGGGAUCAAACAGGAUUAGAUACCCCGGUAGUCC
rnacentral:rRNA from 1 species